CUGAUCGGUGAAAAAGAGGGGCAGCAGGUGGAGGGGAAAAUGGUGGUGGUUAUUGUGUUGAGGGAAAGAGAGAGACGAAGUGGAACUUUGGGUGGCCGGAAUUUGGAGAUGGUAGUGGCAUAAGCAAAGGUGAGCGGAGGGUGAUUCGCGUGUUGGAGAAGGUGGUGGAAAGAGAGAAAAAUUUCUCUCCCAUCCUUUUAUUUUUCAAGUAUGUGAGGGAGGAAGAAAAUGGUUCCCUCAACUUGUUUCUAUUCUUAUUUUUUAUUUGUGUUUUUUUUUUAAUUUCUAAGAAAGUGAAUGAGAGAGGUAACAACUGCCUUUCUCACCAGUCCCAAAUGUCUCAACUUAUACUAGCUUUUAGGGUUUUCUAAUUUUAAUCAAAUUCCAAUUCUACCCUUAGACUUUGGUGUGUGAUCAAUUGGGUCUCAAAUUGAUGAAUUAAUAUCACCAUUUAUUUUUAUCAAAAAAC
rnacentral:lncRNA from 1 species